UACGGAGGGUGCAAGCGUUGCUCGGAAUUAUUGGGCGUAAAGGGUAGGUAGGUGGUCUCAUUUGUCAGGGGUGAAAGCCUUGGGCUUAACCCAAGAAGUGCCCCUGAAACGGUGAGACUGGAGUCCUGGAGAGGGUCGUGGAAUUCCCGGUGUAGCGGUGAAAUGCGUAGAGAUCGGGAGGAACACCAGAGGCGAAGGCAGCCCCCUGGGCUAACACUGACGCUCAUGCACGAAAGCGUGGGGAGCAAACAGG
rnacentral:rRNA from 1 species